UUACUUUGGCAGUACAUAUACUAAAAUUGGAAUGAUACAGAGAAGAUUAGCAUGCCACCUGAACAACAGUGACAUGCAAAUUUCUGAAGAGUCCAAUAUUAUU